rnacentral:tRNA from 1 species
GGGCGCGAUCGGCGAGGUGCCCUCGGCGCUGGACCCGCCGUCGGGCUGCGCGUUCCAUCCGCGGUGUGCCCU